AGCGAACGCUGGCGGCAGGCUUAACACAUGCAAGUCGAGCGCCCCGCUCGGGGAUCGGCAGGCGCGGGAGUGACACGCGGGGACAUACCCUUUGGUUUGGGACAACACAGGUAAACUUCACUUAUUACCGCAUAAGCCCUUACGGGGAAAGAGUUAUCGCCCACAAAUUGGCCCCCGCCGGAUUAUCUCGUUGGUGUGGUAACGGCUCACUAAGGCGACGAUCAGUAGCUGGGCUGAGAGGAUGAUCAGCCACACUGGGACUGAGGCACGGCCCAGACUCCUACGGGAGGCAGCAGUGGGGAAUAUUGGACAAUGGGGGCAACCCUGAUCCAGCAAUGCCGCGUGAGUGAUGAAGGCCUUAGGGUUGUAAAGCUCUUUUGCCCGGGAAGAUAAUGACGGUACCGGGAGAAUAAGCCCCGGCUAACUUCGUG
rnacentral:rRNA from 1 species